AGGGGACCCCGAGUGCCAGUACCUAGUGCUGGCUGUCCCGCUGUCCAAACAACAGUGGUUAGCAAGGGCCGGGCAAGACCGGUGCCAGCCGCCGCGGUAACACCGGCGGCCCGAGUGGUAGCCGUUAUUAUUGGGUUUAAAGGGUCCGUAGCCGGCUUAUUAAGUCUCUUGGGAAAUCUGGCGACUUAAUCGUCAGGCGUCCAAGAGAUACUGACAGGCUUGGGACCGGGAGAGGUGGGAGGUACUCCAGGGGUAGGGGUGAAAUCUCGUAAUCCUUGGGGGACCACCGAUGGCGAAGGCAUCCCACCAGAACGGGUCCGACGGUGAGGGACGAAAGCUGGGGGCACGAACCGGAUUAGAUACCCGGGUAGUCCCAGCUGUAAACGAUGCUCGCUAGGUGUCAGGUGCGGUGCGACCGCAUCUGGUGCCGCAGUGAAAACUUGAAGCGAGUCACCUGGGAAGUACGGUCGCAAGGCUGAAACUUAAAGGAAUUGGCGGGGGAGCACUACAACGGGUGGAGCCUGCGGUUCAAUUGGAUUCAACGCCGGAAAGCUUACCGGGUCAGACAGCAAUAUGAAGGUCAGGCUAAAGACCUUACCGAAUUCGCUGAGAGGAGGUGCAUGGCCGUCGUCAGUUCGUAUCGUGAGACAUCCUGUUAAGUCAGGCAACGAGCAAGACCCGUGCCCACAGUUGCCAGCAUAUCCGCAAGGAUGAUGGGCACACUGUGGGGACCGCCGCUGCUAAAGCGGAGGAAGGAGCGGGCUACGGUAGGUCAGUAUGCCCCGAAUCAUCCGGGCUACACGCGGGCUACAAUGGUUGGGACAAUGGGCACCUACACCGAGAGGUGAUGGUAAUCUCCUAAACCCAGCCUUAGUUCGGAUUGAGGGCUGCAACUCGCCCUCAUGAAGCCGGAAUCCGUAGUAAUCGCGUAUCAACAUCACGCGGUGAAUACGUCCCUG
rnacentral:rRNA from 1 species